UACGUAGGGUGCAAGCGUUGUUCGGAGUUACUGGGCGUAAAGAGUGCGUAGGCGGUGUUCCAAGUCUGUUGUGAAAUCUCCCGGCUCAACUGGGAGGGUGCGGCGGAAACUGGGACGCUGGAGUACGGGAGAGGUAAGCGGAAUUCCUGGUGUAGCGGUGAAAUGCGUAGAUAUCAGGAGGAACACCUGCGGUGUAGACGGCUUACUGGACCGUAACUGACGCUGAGGCACGAAAGCGUGGGUAGCAAACAGG
rnacentral:rRNA from 1 species